UAUUAUACUAAUAAGUUUAAAGGAGCUCGAAUUAUUAAUAGAUAUGGUCUUUAAAUUUAAAGAAUUUGGCGGUGAUUUAGUCUUGUUAGAGGAACCUGUUUUUUAAUCGACAUACCACGUAAUAUCUUACUUACUUUAGUGUUAAGUUUAUAUACCGUCAUUAUCGGAUAAUCUUUAAAAAAGUUAAUUAUUAAGCUUUAAAGAAUUUGAGUAAAAUUAGAUCAAGGUGUAGCUGAUAAGUGAGUUAGAAUGGGUUACAAUUAAUUUUAUUAACACGGAUUAAUAGGAAGAAUAGAUAUUAUAAAGGAGGAUUUAAUUGUAAUGUUGGUUUAAUAAGCCUGAAAGAUAUAAGCUCUAAAUUGU
rnacentral:rRNA from 2 species